rnacentral:rRNA from 1 species
GGCUUAACACAUGCAAGUCGAACGCUCACUUCGGUGAGAGUGGCAGACGGGUGAGUAACACGUGGGAAUCUACCUAUCUCUGCGGAACAACACAUAGAAAUGUGUGCUAAUACCGCAUACGCCCUCCGGGGGAAAGAUUUAUCGGAGAUAGAUGAGCCCGCGCUUGAUUAGCUAGUUGGUGAGGUAAUGGCUCACCAAGGCGACGAUCAAUAGCUGGUCUGAGAGGAUGAUCAGCCACACUGGAACUGAGACACGGUCCAGACUCCUACGGGAGGCAGCAGUGGGGAAUAUUGGACAAU